AUGGGGAGGUCCGGGUGCUGCUGCCCGCUCUGGGCUUCUGGCUGGGGCGAGGGACCAGUGCCCAUGGAUGCUGGGUCCUGCCUCAGUUUCCCUGGGUGCUUUUCCAGUAGAAAUGAGAAGGCCCGACACAGGGCCAGCAGCCAGAAUUCCCAGGAACUGGGGGGUGGGCUCCCCGCUGGGCAGGCCUGGGGGCCCAGGGCACCCACAGCAGUGGGGCUCAGUGGAGCCCAUGGGGUGGGAGCAGGCUUCUGGCUAAGGCUGGCCCUGGCGGAUGUGUGUCCCCAGCCACACUCACGUGGGGGUGCGAUCUCAGCCUCCGCGGCCCUGCCAGGCUCCCGCCUCUCCACAGAUCUGCCCGGAGCUGCUGUCCUACAGGGCGGGGCAGCGGGAGCCAGCCUGAAGCCCAGGCAGGGCCCCCGCGGAUGGCAGACAAGGUGGUCCCCCGGCAGGUGGCCCGGCUGGGCCGCACGGUGCGGCUGCAGUGCCCGGUGGAAGGGGACCCGCCACCCCUGACCAUGUGGACCAAGGAUGGCCGCACCAUCCACAGCGGCUGGAGCCGCUUCCGCGUGCUGCCCCAGGGGCUGAAGGUGAAGGAGGUGGAGGCCGCGGACGCAGGCGUGUAUGUGUGCAAGGCCACCAACGGCUUCGGCAGCCUCAGCCUCAACUACACGCUCGUCGUGAUGGGUCAGUCAGGGCAGCGGCCACUGGGCCCUCCCCGGGGCAGCGCCAGUAGGUGGGGGG
rnacentral:lncRNA from 1 species